rnacentral:rRNA from 1 species
GGACGACCAGCCACACUGGAACUGAGACACGGUCCAGACUCCUACGGGAGGCAGCAGUCGGGAAUAUUGGGCAAUGGGCGAAAGCCUGACCCAGCAACGCCGCGUGAAGGAUGAAGGCCUUCGGGUCGUAAACUCUGUCGAGAGGGAAGAAUUGCGUACGGUUAAUAUCCGUGCGUUUGACGGUACCUCCAAAGGAAGCACCGGCUAACUCCGUGCCAGCAGCCGCGGUAAUACGGAGGGUGCAAGCGUUGUUCGGAUUUAUUGGGCGUAAAGCGAGUGUAGGCGGUUUGGCAAGUCGAGUGUGAAAGCCCAGGGCCCAACCCUGGAACUGCAUCCGAUACUGCCAGGCUAGAGUCCCGGAGAGGAUGGCGGAAUUCCCGGUGUAGGGGUGAAAUCCGUAGAUAUCGGGAGGAACACCAGUGGCGAAGGCGGCCAUCUGGACGGUGACUGACGCUCAGACUCGAAAGUGUGGGUAGCAAACAGGAUUAGAUACCCUGGUAGUCCACACCGUAAACGGUGAGAGCUCGUCGUAGUGGGUAUUGACCCCUGCUGUGACCAAGUUAACGCAUGAAGCUCUCCGCCUGGGAAGUACGGUCGCAAGACUAAAACUCAAAGAAAUUGACGGGGGCCCGCACAAGCGGUGGAGCAUGUUGUUUAAUUCGAAGCAACGCGCAGAACCUUACCUGGAUUUGACAUCUCGGGAAUCUCUCUGAAAGGAGAGAGUGCCUUCGGGAACCCGAUGACAGGUGCUGCAUGGCUGUCGUCAGCUCGUGUCGUGAGGUGUUGGGUUAAGUCCCGCAACGAGCGCAACCCCUAUCGUUAGUUGCUAGCAGUUCGGCUGAGCACUCUAGCGAGACUGCCGGUGUUAAACCGGAGGAAGGUGGGGACGACGUCAAGUCCUCAUGGCCUUUAUGUCCAGGGCUACUAACGUGCUACAAUGGUCGGUACAGACGGUUGCGAACCUGCGAAGGUAAGCCAAUCCUACAAAGCCGGCCUCAGUUCGGAUUGAAGUCUGCAAUUCGACUUCAUGAAGGCGGAAUCGCUAGUAAUCGCGGAUCAGCAUGCCGCGGUGAAUACGUUCCCGGGCCUUGUACACACCGCCCGUCACACCACGAAAGCUGGUUGAACCAGAAGUCGGCGACCCAACCUUCGGGAGGGAGCCGCCCAAGGUAUGACUGGUGAUUGGGGUGAAGUCGAAACAAGGUA